AUAGCAACAGCAGCGUAGCUGAACAUCUUACGGAUGGCCCAGGGCUCCAAAGGCUCGUUUCCUAAGUGAGAGAGAGCCUGGCUGAAGCUGUAUUACCAUUCAUUCUCCAGCCUCCGAAGUCUCAAAGCAUCACUUCCACCAUACUCUAACUGUCAAGACAAACACAAAGGCCCAGAAACUGCCAGACUGUCUUCUGAAGUGGCUAUAAUAUUUACACUCCCAUCAGCAGUGUAGAAGGGGUCUCACUAUGUUGUCUGGAGUGCUGUGGUGGAGUGGAGUGGCUAUUCACAGAGCCUGUUCUGCUGGGACACAGAAUCACUUGCUCCAUCUCAUACAUUGAUGAUGAUUAAUUUGUAUGUGUACCUUCCAAAAAAGAUGGUUGUGUUUGAAUGGAGGCCUUCUGGACAGGAAAAUUGCAAAGUACAAUUAACAUUUGAGUCUGUCUGAGUCAUGAAGAAAUGGAGAUUACUGAAAAUAAUUCAUUUUGGUAUCUUCUUACAUCCUGAGAGACUAAUCUUUCCAAGUUCAUCUGAGGCUCCUCUUCUCCAUGACAACCUCAUCCAGGGAUUUCUUCCUGUCCUGGUGUUUUAUGACAUGUGGAAGGGGACUGUAGCAGGUGAUCUCCAAAGUCUCUGGAGACUUACUAAUGUGCAUCCUCAUCUCGCUUGUAAGGAUAAUAGCCUUCCUCCAAACCUCACACACUUUUGGAGGAGAUCACUUUUUUUAAAGUGCAUGGAAAUGUUUUGAAACAGUGAAAUCUAUAAUGAUAGGUUUCAUAAUUCUAACAUCCACACCAUAUGAAUCACAUCCUUCCUGAGAUAAUGAGCACACAAUUGCCUGGAUACCUGAAGGAAUGGAGACAGCGGCAGAAAACACUGCAGAGAGGUGGAAACAUCCGUUAAUAUUUUAAAAUCCCAUUACUGCUACCAACAAUAAUAAUGGAUGCAUAGAAAUAGAUCUGGAUUAGCUGAGCUUGAAACAGUCCAUCUCACACACACACAAAAGAAUUUCAGAUACAGUGAACCCACAUGUUGAAGCUUUCUAGUAUAAUAAAAAUUUCAACUGUUCUGUUGAAUCAUCUGCCUGAUUGGAGGCUACAGAAAAGAUGUCAUCUUAGGAGUGCUUGCUCUGAGUGAGGCUCAUCUUCAAAUCUGAAUGACCACAAGGAGAUUUGAUUAUACAUGUGAACACCUCAGAAGGCACAGCCCACCCAGAAGGCAGACAGAAGAAGCUGCCAGGAAGACUGUGAAAUCUUCAUGCCCAAGGAUCCCUAAAAUUAGGAGCAACAACCACUUGGCUCAGACGGUUUAUGGAGGCAAAGGUUUGGAUGGGAUUAGAGAUUUCUAAAUGUGAGUUCGUGUCCUCUGCCAGACCACCUUACUUCCACCAUUCCUCAGCAAAUCAAGAAAAACAGGAGAAAAGACAUGCCUUUCCAUAAGUUAAAUCUAUUCUGUUUUAAUUCUAUAUUAUAUCUGCUGUACAACUUCUUUUGUUUGUAACACCAUAUUGUUGCUAGUAACUGGAAAUUAAUUUUCACAUGCCUCAGCUUAGAAAAAUAAAAAGCAGCCCUGCAUCAA
rnacentral:lncRNA from 1 species